rnacentral:lncRNA from 1 species
AUGGGUGUGUGUACAUGCAUGUGCCUGGGCUGUGUGCACAUGUGCAUGUGUGUCUGCAUGUUUGCUGUGCAUGUCUGGGCCGUGCAUGUCUGUGCACGGGCCGUGUCUGGGGGGGGUGGGGCUGUGCCGUGCCCUAGGAGUGUGCUCUGUGUGUGCUGCAAGUGUGCUCUGUGCCAUGUGUGUCUGCACGUGUGCUGUGCAUGUCUGGGCCGUGCGUGUCUGUGUGUGGGUGGGGGGGGCUGUGCCCUAGGAGUGUGCUCUGUGUGUGCGGCGAGUGUGCUCUGUGCCAUGUGUGUCUGCACGUGUGCUGUGCAUGUCUGGGCCGUGCAUGUCUGUGCAUGUGCCGUAUGUGUAUGGCUGUGCCCUAGCCAUGUGCUCUGUGCCGUGUGUGUCUGUGCGUGGCCGUGCACGAGCCAGUGGGAGCAGUGCAUGUGGGUGCACAUGCUGGCAAAGGGGGCCCCCCCCGAUCCUCUCUGCCAUUCCUCUCCAAGUGCUCCACCUUUGGCGCCAGCUGGGGGGAGAGGGGACUCUGGCGCGGAGAUGGUGGCACACUACGGCUUGGGCCAUGCCAGGGGCACAGGUAGGAGUCCUGCCGGGUGGGUUGGACCCUGCCUGCCCCAGACACAACCCUGGCCUUGGCACUGCCACCUGCCCCCAGGCUCUGCCUUUGCCCAGUCUCAGCCAGACACCAUCUCCCUCCAUGGUAGCAGCAGCCUCCACCCUGCUUCAGCCUGGCCAGGAGGCGAGGGCCUGGAAGACAGAGCAAAGAGCUGGGCUAGCCUGACCCCCCUGCUGCCUCCCCCCACCCCCACCUCAUUGACUCUGUGCUGCCCUCCCCUUCACUGCCCCUCCACAGCAGGGCCCAGCGCCCCCUGGCAGCUGGUCUCCUGGGCCCCCUCCUCCCAGAGCCCCAUCUGUGCAGCCCCUGUGGCGCUUUGGGCCAUGUGGCAGCUGCGAGCCUCCGGCCCCCAGCCCAGGACACUUGGGCCCCAACUUCCCCAUACCCGUCACGAGCUGGGCAGGGGCUGA